GGUGGGGUAGCUCAGCUGGUUAGAGCGCAGGACUCAUAAUCCUGAGGUCGAGAGUUCAAGUCUCUCUCCCACUACCA
rnacentral:tRNA from 2 species